rnacentral:rRNA from 1 species
CAGUCGCCACGGUAAUACGUAGGUGGCAAGCGUUGUCCGGAAUUAUUGGGCGUAAAGGGCUCGCAGGCGGUUUCUUAAGUCUGAUGUGAAAGCCCCCGGCUCAACCGGGGAGGGUCAUUGGAAACUGGGAAACUUGAGUGCAGAAGAGGAGAGUGGAAUUCCACGUGUAGCGGUGAAAUGCGUAGAGAUGUGGAGGAACACCAGUGGCGAAGGCGACUCUCCGGUCUGUAACUGACGCUGAGGAGCGAAAGCGUGGUGAGCGAACAGGAUUAGAUACCCCAGUAGUCCCUGUCUCUUAUAC